UAUGUAGGGUGCGAGCGUUGCCCGGAUUUAUUGGGCGUAAAGGGCGCGUAGGCGGCUCUGCACGUCCGUUGUGAAAUCGCCCGGCUCAACUGGGCGGGGUCAGCGGAUACGGCGGAGCUUGAGCAAGCUAGGGGGCAAUGGAAUUCCCGGUGUAGUGGUGGAAUGCGUAGAUAUCGGGAGGAACACCAGUGGCGAAGGCGGUUGCCUGGGGCUUUGCUGACGCUGAUGCGCGAAAGCGUGGGGAGCGAACAGG
rnacentral:rRNA from 1 species